UGAAUUCGCUGAGUAUAUGCGGAUCAGCACGCCGCGGUGAAUACGUUCCCGGGCCUUGUACACACCGCCCGUCACACCAUGAGAGUUUGUAACACCCGAAGCCGGUGGCGUAACCCUUUUAGGGAGCGAGCCGUCUAAGGUGGGACAAAUGAUUAGGGUGAAGUCGUAACAAGGUAGCCGUAGGAGAACCUGCGGCUGGAUCACCUCCUUUCUA
rnacentral:rRNA from 1 species